AUUUAUCUAUCGGACUGCUCCAAACGCUUUCUGAGCUUCACUAUCAGCCAAUUUUCUACAGUGAUCGACUACUCUCUGAAUCUCUUUCAGACUUCUUCCGGCCACAAACGACUUUACUUCGAACUUCUUUCAACUUCAUCAAUGUUCGAGCUUCUCCAACAGCAAGACUUCUAUAGUAAUCAGACUUCAUCCAAGUUUCUAUAGCGGU
rnacentral:lncRNA from 1 species